GUUAGAAAUGUUUUGAAAUGGAUAUUGUUCUCUCUUUGAUCAGGGAUUGCUAUAUGAAAAGAAGUGGAGUUUGAAAAAGGGAACGGAAUGGUCAAACCGGAACUGCUAGAGGAACGAAUUUUCAAUAGCAUAACUUGGGCUCCUAGAAUAUGGCGCCCUUGGGACAAUCCAUUUGAUUGCAGGGUUUUGUUCCGAAGCAAAGAUAUCCGCGGAGGCCAGUUCGUUCCCUUUUUCUAA